GCAGCUUCCUGGCCUAAUGCCCUGAUCCUCCAACCAGGAGACCUCCCCAGGCCUGCAGAAGCAUUUGCAAUGAUGACUUGGAGGAAGCUAUGUUGGGAACAGCUCUAUGGAGAGGCCCAUGGGCAAGGGCUUGAGACCUCCUGCCCACAGCCAUGUGAGUGAGCGUGGUAAAAGAUUCUCCCCAGUUGAGUCUUCAGAUAAGUUUGCAGCCCCAUAUGACAACUUGACUGCAACUUCAUGGGAGACCCUGAGCCAACACCACCUGGCUGAACUGUUCCCAGAUUCCUGACCCUCAGAAACUCUGAGGUGAUAAAUCUGAGGACACAGAGAGGUGAACAUCAAGA